CGAACCGUGCGAACGUUGUUCGGAAUCACUGGGCUUAAAGGGCGCGUAGGCGGGUGUCUAAGUCCAUGGUGAAAUCCUCAGCCCAACUGGAGAACGGCCGUGGAUACUGGGCACCUCGAGGGAGGUAGGGGCGUGCGGAACAGAUGGUGGAGCGGUGAAAUGCGUUGAUAUCAUCUGGAACUCCGGUGGCGAAGGCGGCACGCUGGACCUCUUCUGGCGCUGAGGCGCGAAAGCCAGGGGAGCGAACGGGAUUAGAUACCCCGGUAGUCCUGGCCCUAAACGAUGGGCACUAGGUAGUAGCCCGCACAUGGGGUUACUGCCGGAGCGAAAGUGCUAAGUGCCCCGCCUGGGGAGUAUGGUCGCAAGGCUG
rnacentral:rRNA from 1 species